UCAAUGUACAAAGUCAUGCAUAGUAGACUCCCCUCUGAGAAAAUUAUUUACCUUACCAGCAGGGGGAAACCUAGAGACACUUCGGGAUUAAACAUGAGUACCAUGAUGACAGAAAGACCUCAGGAACCACCAGAGGAGGCCUCAAAAAGGAACAAGAUUUGUGAUGAUCUGCAUUCUUCUAAUAUUUAUAUGAAUGAAGAUAUGUAUGGAAAUGUUGGGACUGACUGGGAUGAUCAAAUAUAUGCCAAUGUCUAAUAAAUAGAGGAAAAGCUGCAGUUUG